rnacentral:lncRNA from 1 species
CAGGGCUGUGAACAUCAAUAGGCAGUGCCUGUCGGAACUCCCAAGGACUCUCCUAGGUAUUUUCCUUCUACCAUCUUCUCCCACAGACUUCCUCUACCUUUGGAUAGAUGCAAACUCGCAUUUGCAACUAUACACAUAUAGAGCACAUAUGCCAAAUCUAAGCAGAUUUCGCCAAAUUAGAAGGUUUAGAUAGGAUCAAGGAUCCCCGUAAUAAUCAAAACGUCUAGGAUACAAUUUU